UAUUAGGUUGGUGCAAAAGUAAUUGCAGUUUUUGCCAUUACUUUUAAAGGCACAAAACCCAAUUACUUUUGCAUCAACCUA
rnacentral:miRNA from 1 species